rnacentral:rRNA from 1 species
AUUGAACGCUGGCGGCAGGCCUAACACAUGCAAGUCGAAAGAGUGGCGGACGGGUGAGUAAUGUCUGGGAAACUGCCUGAUGGAGGGGGAUAACUAGUGGAAACGGUAGCUAAUACCGCAUACCAGCGGAUGUGCCCAGAUGGGAUUAGCUAGCAGGUGGGGUAACGGCUCACCUAGGCGACGAUCCCUAGCUGGUCUGAGAGGAUGAUCAGCCACACUGGAACUGAGACACGGUCCAGUCUCCUACGGGAGGCAGCAGUGGGGAAUAUUGCACAAUGGGGGCAAGCCUGAUGCAGCCAUGCCGCGUGUAUGAAGAAGGCCUUCGGGUUGUAAAGUACUUUCAGCGGGGAGGCGUUACCCGCAGAAGAAGCACCGGCUAACUCCGUGCCAGCAGCCGCGGUAAUUC